rnacentral:lncRNA from 1 species
GCGAGACUGAAACUUUUUCUCCUGACUUCCCUGACUUCCCAGGAGUCUGUCUGGUACCUAGAGGAGAAGGUGAGAAAUGAAGAAGAAAAUGCUGCCCAAUUUCCUUCAUUUCCAAUUGAGAGACUCUUUCAAGAUUUCCCAUCUCUGAAUUUGCCAAAGAUGGAGUGUCUCUCUUGGUAUAUCUCUCUCAUACGUGCUGUGUGACCAUCUG